rnacentral:lncRNA from 1 species
GAUGACAAGAUGGUGAGCCGCACUUGCUUUCCCCUCUCCUACAAGUGAUUUGAAGUUAACCGGUGCCUAAUGAUUUGAAGUUACUGGCAAUCUUUAAUUUAGUCAUGUGAAUUGUACUAGUGCUUACUGAAUUACCUGAUGUGUAUGUGCAUGAACUACGUGGUGUGUAUAUGUCCUUGGAUUUUCUAAUCGCUGUGGUCUAUCUGGCAUAUGGACAAGAACGACAUGGCGAGCCGCGCUCGCGCCCCCACACGGCGUGCAAGCGCUGUAUCCGACAACAAGAUGGUGAGCCGCGCUCGCUGCUCCCACUCUGCUACUAGUGAUUUGAAGUUAACCAGUGCCUAAUGACCUGGAGUUAUUGAUAAUCUUUAAUCUAGUCAUUUGAAUUACUAGUACUAGUGCUUAAUUUACUACCUGAUGUGUAUGUUCAAGAAUUACGUGAUGGGUAUAUGUCCUUGGACUUUCUAAUCGCUACGGUCUCAUCUGGCAGAUCGACAGGGACGAGAUGGCGCCGGACCAGGGGGUGCCACGCAUGCGGGGGAGCAUCGCGUCGUCAAGUGCGGUUGGUAAGUAUACUUUAUGCUGCUUUUUUUGUCAGCAUCGUCUCCAUGCAGGCUACACUGGCAAACAAGCAGCUUAGCUCUUGUGCAUGCUGUUUUUUUGUCAUCACUAGGGGCGUGUUUUGUUGCCGUGUGCUAUAGUACCUGCGUUGCAUACCAGUGGCGGAGCUAGCAUUUGACAUCAGGGUGGUCCGACCCCCGAAAAAAAAUUAACAAGAAAUAUGACAUCUGGGCAUUCUAAAUACUUACCAAUAUGACACAAGUUCUCCAGCUUGCUCUUCGGCCACAUCUCACAUAUUCAUUGCCUUCUUCUUCUUCCCUAUCUUCAUAGCUUCUCUUUGAAAAGAGAAACAAUGUCUCCGGUCCUCUUCAUUCUUCAAAAAUUCUGCAAUAAAAUUUAGUUUCUAUCAAUAAAGCUAAUUGAGGCAGAAAUGAUAUGCAAAAUUAUGUAUGUGUUCAUCAAUUCAUGAUAGUGUAGUGCAAAAAAGCAAACCCUAAGUCAAAAAAUAUGGGGUUUCAGUACCUUAAAUUUGAUUUGCACAUUUGCUGCGAAUCUGUGAUGCUACCGCUGGACGGCUGGAGACUUGCUGGUGAGCGGCACCUUCAACGGUCGUCGGCUUUGCAGGGAGGGCCGAGGGGGCGCAGGCAGUGGGCGGGCGGGCGGCAGGGCCAGGCGGCCACGGCUCCUGCUGGUCAAGGGGCGCGGGCGAGCGGUGGAGCNNNNNNNNNNGGCGUGAGGCGAGGGCUUCGGGGCAUCCUCUCCUCUGCCUCGAUGUGGAAUGAGCAAAGUUUCAAAUCGCGGGCGAAAUUGGCGCUAUUGCUGCUCUAUCGCGGCUGGAGAGGCUUCCUGCUAUGCUAUGUCAAAUUUUCCGCAAUUUGCCGCUACCGCCGCGAUCGCCGCGUGAAACAGCAAUAAGUGGCUUAGCUGUCGCUGCAGUUUCGCUGGAAUGGCUGAGAUCGAUUUUAACAGGCUGAAACAGAGGGCCAGAACAAAUCGUAGCCCAAAUUUCCUCUGAUAGAGCAGCCUGUCCAGAAACCUUAUCUUCAUUAAAUCCUCUCGCUCCCAUCUAAAAAACUUGCGGCGGCUGCGGCUAGGCGGGCCGGCGGCUGCUUCGCAGCAAGCCGGAGUCAGCGACGAGCGAGGCGGCGACCAGGACUCCGACAGGAGGCUGCAUACUCCGUAGCUCUAGUACUCUGUCUGUUUGCUGUUAUUGAUCCAUCCUAGUCCGUUUGCUGAUUCAGUACGGAUGUUGUCUUUUUAUUUGCGGGGAGGAUAUUGACUUAUUUAUGACUGAAUUUAUACUGCCAAUCCUCUGUUUUCUGCUGAAAAUCCUCUGUUUUUUAGACAAAAAACAUGCAUAUGUACUUUUGCCGCUAAAUACCUUAGCGGCCGCUAUCGCCCGCUAUAGCGGCCCUAGCGUUUUGAUGAGCCAGCCGCGAAAUGCUUUUGCCCGUGAUCUUAAAGUUUGGGAACGAGGGGUCGUGGCCUCGUGGGCUAUGGCUGAACGACAGAACAAGGGCUGGCAGUGUAUAUUGGGCCAUCUGUUUUUUUGGCCCAGUUAAAUACCCAUGGUAGGCUGCUCCAAAAUCCCAGGGUGGGCCGCGGCCCACCCUGGCCACCCUGUAGCUCCGUCCAUGUUGUAUACCCUUCUCCACUCAGUCUGGCUCUGAAAAAACAGCCUCAUAUGCAACAUCUGCGAGUUGUUUGGUUGCCUGCAUGUCCUCUUACCUGCAUGGGCUGAACCACACUGCCUGAUGUUUGAUUGCCUGCAUGUUAGUGGACAAACCCAAGGCAUGGUGUUUGGUUGUAUGCAACGCCUGGUGCGUGGUAACCUCUUUGGCUAGUUGGUGAGGUUACUAGCACACUUCGGCACAACCAUGUAUAGCACACAUCAUAAGCAGAGCAGACUAUAAACAGAGCAUCAACUACUUAACAGCAUAAUUCAGAUAAGCAGUACCACACUUCAUAACAGUUCAACGCCUAAACCCUAAACAGUUCAAAGCAGACUCCUUGCCGGCGAAGGCUUCAUCGUGCUUCCCGCACUUGCUGACGACCACAAUGCGAUCCUCGUUGAAGAUGGUGACCUUGAGGGUGUAGGGAGUGAGGAGCUUGAACGUCACCAUGUAGUCGAUCUUGAUCUGAUGAACGUUCACCAGCUUCACCGUCACCUUCAAGGACCAGCCGGUGUUUUUCCUGAGCUUAAACUCUGUCGGCACCGCAACGAAGUGCGUGGUGAAGUCCAGGGGCAUUGGGAUGCACUCAAGCUUCGGUGCAAGGAUGACGUUGCAGAAGUGAGUCGGGCCAUCCUCCUGAUGGUAGUGGUCGUAGUUGCGGUGCUUGUUGCUGGGGGGCACCUCCAUGCCCUCGUCGUCGCCACCCUCAAGCGUCUUUGGGUCUUCCUCGGCGGUGUGCGGCAGCACAACCUCGUCGGGCAUUGGGUGAAGGGGCUGCUUGCCCCUGUUCUCAACAGCCGGGAGCACCUCAUUGCUCUCCUCGAUCUGCACACAAUUCAUGGAUUCAGGCACAACACAGAGUUCAUGGCUUAUUGAAGAGCAUGCAGUUAAAACGGCAUGACUGUCACUCUUCUCCUCCUCUCCAUCGCCCCUAUAUUUACUCACCCUGCCCAACACUACUUACCCACCCCCUCUCUUCUCUCACUGUCAACCUUCCUCCUCCCCAUCGCCAUGAGCUCUAGCUCCAGCUCGGAUGCCAACCCCUUCCCUUGGGGUAUUGGCGGGACAGCCUUCUUCCUAGGGUGGUCGGUUGGUGACCGCACCAAGUUCGAGAACACCAUGGAGGUGUGCUCGAACUUUGGCUCCAUGCCUGACAUGCAGAAGGAAUCUAAUGCAGUGCUCAUGAAGGCCACUGCAGAAGAGCUGAAGACGCCGAUUCCUGACCCAGCGAAGGGCGCGAUGGCAGUUGACAUCAUUCGCGGGGCCAUGAAUUUGGCCGUCUCCGACGACGCUAAACAGAGAAAGAAGUGGUGCAGGUACAAGAACUAUUGGGCCCCUAAUGACCGCCAUGCCGCAGUGUACUGGGAGACGGCUAUCGCGCCUCCGGCGGUCAUCGGUGGGGAGCCUAAGAAGGAGGACAAGGAGGAAGAACCGGUGCAGAUGCCGGCAAGGGUGCAGAUGCCGGCAACAUACAACCAUGAUUCUCAGAAAUAGACCAUCAUGGAGCCGACAAUGGUGGCCAUGAUAGGCUAGUGAAAAGCACACUGGUGAUCAACCUUACAACACUAAACAAAAUAUUGCAACAUGAGGUAACCCCAACUUUGUAGCACUGGUCCACCAUUUUCAACCACCUUGUAGCAAUGAACAGUUCACUGACCAAUAGCAUUGCUGCAUCAAGUGACCGGCUUCCAGCACUGAACACCCGCGCUUGCAGCACCACGAUGAUCGAUGGUCGGCCUUUCUACAUUAUUAGUUAACAUUGCACACCUCGUCUCCAUUUUUAUGUACAUACACAUGAGUGAGCUUGGAACAUUAGUAACGUAUCAACAUUACCAAACAUGAAGAUGAUAAAUUUGUUUCUCCAAUCAUCGACAUUACUGAAUAAGCGAGCAACUGCACAUCCACCACACGAGCCAUAAUUUUUUAGCUCUGCGACAACAUCUUAUAGUUGCAAAAGAGCUGACGAUAAUGGUUUAGAAUGUAUGUGAUCAAAAUAGAUUCAAUGGAGGGGAGGGUGGACUACCUAUGUUGAAUCAGACUAGCUGCAAGGUCACAAGUGCCUUGUCUAAAUAGCCAAAAAGACAAAACGAGGCCCCCUGGAUUCUCCAUCCUGAAGCUAAGCAUAACUCCAACUCCACACACGCUCGGGGGCUACUAAAGGUGCAAUACGCUAGGGGUAUCUUCUGGGUGGGAAGCCUGGUAGCAGGCCUGCCUUAGGGCACAAGAGGCCAAGUGGAGGAUCAGUACAAUAGGGUAGCUCAGGAGCCCAGAUAAGGACCGUGAGAGCAUCUUGGCAGGCAAGCUAAGAUGGUAGUGGUAUGAGAUCUGAUGGAUUCCUUUUAAACCUAGCCCUUGCCACCUAUAUAAGGAGGGGCUCGGGGUUGUCAUUCACAUAUACUCUCAUAGACUGUACUCUCUGUAGCAUUAUACUUCAUCACCACUCUAAACCCCUCGCAUAAGGUGCUCCACCAAGAAUAAAAAUCAGAUACAUGAUGUUGGGCAUUACCUCUCACCGAGGGCCCGAACCUGGGUAAAAACCUUUGUGUGAACUCCUUUGUCGUGUAUCCGUACAAGUUCACCACCCUACUAUGGGUAUUCACGGUUUUACAUAUUGUCACAUAGUUAAGUUCUGACACAUUUUCUCUGGGGGGUUGAAGCAACUCAUGGUGUAAAUAGGUGUUUCUUGAAGCACUGAUUCUACUAGCACCUCCUUUCCCGGCUUCGAGAUAUCUUGUCCUUCCUAUCCAACCACUUUGCCAUUUGAGCUUUCUUUAAGAUGUUUAAAAUUUCCUUCAUUUGACCUGCCCACCAUGGUUGGGAGCCAAAAUAAUGCUCGCUCAAUGCCUUAGGAUCUGUGCAAAGAUAUUUACAACAACUUUGUCCUCCUAUUUGCCUCAGUUCCCAAAGAAUGUUGAGGCUUUUUGAAAAUUGCCCAUUUUUUCCGAGGCCCACUCAUAGUCAAAGAGGAUAUAUUUAAGGUUAAAAGUUGUCAUUUGACGGUUGAAGAAAUACUAUACUAUCAUCUGCAGAAAUAAGAUGGGCUACAUGGGGGUUAGUGCUCCCAAAAGAUAUACCAUUGAUCUCUUUAUCUUUCAGCAUUCAUGAGAAAGGUCGAAAAACUCGCAAGAUAGAAAAUAAAAAAAUAGGGAGACCAUGGGUCUCCUUGCCAGAGCCCUCUUCAUAGUGUACAAAAUACAUAACACACUCCAUUCAAUUUGAUAGAAAACCUGGCAGGGGUACCACACAUCAUAAUCAUCAAGAUCAACCUAUCUGAGAAACCAAGUGCCCUCAUCACCGGGUCGAGGAAAAUCCAAACCACCCUCUUAUAUGCCUUCAUCAUGUAUAGUUUAACUGCGAACAUUGGAUUUUUCUAUUUGUUGAAUGAACAUACUUUGCUCCUGCGUGAACAUUAUGGAUAGGACAACCAUCAAUCUCUUUGCUAGGCCUUUGAAGCAAUCUGACUGAGUGUGUUCAAUAAGUUGAUUGAUGCCAUUUGAGGAAGUAUCUCCAUUGAGGUAAUUUUGGGGAUCAGGACUAGAACCAUAUCACUAAAGUUUGUUGAAAUAACUCCAUUAAAAGAAUCACCUAUUACUAUGUGUACAUCAUAUUUUUAGAAGUAACUCGUGAAAUUAGUAAACAUAAGUGAGAGGUUGUCUAGCCCCUGCGCUCUUGCCAGUCAAAUUUAGAAUAGUGCAUUCUCAAUUUAUACAUCCAUCACGUCCGUGUUCACCCUCUCCUCCAUAUCACUAGUCACAGAGGGUCGGAUGUGAGCUAAGAUGUUGUCAGUAUCAGCAGAGGCUUCUGAACAGAACAACUAAGCAUAGAAAUCGGCCGAAAUCUUUCCCAUCUCAUUGUCAAUAGUACAACUCAUGCCAUCCGCCCUCAUGUUUUGAUCGUCUUCCUUGAGAAAUUCCAGUCGGGAACAUUGCAUACACAUUAUUUGUUCAUGUGCAUGAACCACAUGAAGCUACCCUUCAAUCUUGCUGGUCUUCAUCGAGGAUGUCUGGAUCCCAAUGCUCUACCCUUUCCAUCGAAGUUGGACCUUGUGCCUAGUAAUCUCACAACAUACAAGACAAAAUACAGAGCCAUUUCAAUGUAUCAUAUCAUUGGUGAAAUUGUUACGCUUCCUGUAGAGCUCACUCUGGCCGGAAUUGUUAUCACAUGCAUACUAUCAUGCCUCCAUGUGCAUCCACCUCUCCUCAAACGUUAAUGCCCUCUUCUUACUUUUGGUAAUGACUAGGUUUUCUAGCACUCUACUAACGAGUGAACCAUGGUCUGGUCCUCCAUGACAACAUGUUCAAUGGGUGUAUCCUACAAUGAAUGAACAAAUUCAUCAUUGCAUGGACCCGUGUCCACAUGUAUGUAAAUGAUCUCAUCCCACUCCCUCUUAUUGUCCCAAGUGAACACGUUGCUACUAAAACAAAGGUUUGAAAUGCUAUUAUUGUCUACACUCUCCCUAAUGCGCUCCAUUUGUGUGAAACUUCUAAAGUAAUCUCCUAGUUGUUGGGAUUAAAAGAAUUCUUUGUUGAGGUAUCAUUGUAACAGAUAAAUGUAUUAUUAGGAUCUAGUCUCUCAGAGCCUCCCUUAGCUAUACAAAUUUUCUUCAAUCUCUCUUCCUAUCCAGUAGCUUUAGGUGAUAAUCCUUGUGAUGCCUUUCGUGGUCACCAUCACCUUGGCUCGUCAUAUGAAUAAAAGUGCCUGGUCUGUGUAGCUUAGAGGUAGAUGGGUCAUAUUUCCCAAUGGCCUUGACCCUUUCCCUUAUAGAUUUUUUUAUGUCUUGCUCCCUUUCAUGCUCCUCUCUCAGGUCCCACUUCCUUUUUAGAUUGAAAUCAUCCCUUAGUUCACAAUCAUGUCACAGAUCUUGCCUACAUGGGUCCUCCCUGCACUUCAUGUUAGACAAUUACCCUCUACAAGACCAUCUCGAGGAUCCUCACCAGAGAGAGAGUCCAUAGAGGGUGUAUAAUCAUUGUAUGACCUGCACCUAAAUGGACGGACAUGCAACGCUACAUGACCCCUGCACCCAUAGACGCCCUUGCUUGACCUAGUGAUCCCAAAACUAAAUUUCAUGUUUUUUGUCACCGGCCUCUACUUUGUUUUUGUCUGUGAGGAGCCAUGUCCAAGUGAUGCCCUGUAACGCCCAAUAUGCGAUACUAUCCUAAAGAGACUCGAAGGUCCCACCAAGGAUAGAAUCGCAGAUUGAAACGCUUUUGCAAGGUGGAUAUCAUUACCUCAACAUUACAUAAUAGAUGGGGAUACAAACAAAAGGCAUACAAUGCCACACGAAUACAACAUCAUCUUACAUAAGAACACCAUCCGACUACGGAUGAAACACAAACAGAAACUCAAACGACAUCCACCCUGCUAGCCCAGGCUGCCGACCUGGAACCUAUCCCCUGAUCGAAGAAGAAGCAGAAGAAGAACUCCAAAACCAUCAAACAUCGCUCUCGCAUCAUGACCAUCACAAAACCUGUACCUGCAACUGUUGUUGUAGUAAUCUGUGAGCCACGAGGACUCAGCAAUCCCAUUACCAUGGGUAUCAAGACUAGCAAAGCUUAAAGGGAAAGGAAGGGGUAAAGUGGUGACUGGUGAGGUUGCAGCAGCGACUAAGCAUAUAUGAUGGCUAACAUACGCAAAUAAGAGCGAGAAGAGAAGCAACGGAAUGGUCGUGAAGCUAGCAAUGAUCAAGAAGUGAUCCUGAACUCCUACUUACGUCAAACAUGACCCAAAACCGUGUUCACUUCCCGGACUCCGCCGAAAAGAGACCAUCACGGCUACACACACGGUUGAUGCGUUUUAAUUCGGAUCUGGUGUCAAGUUAUCUACAACCGAACAUUAACAAAUUCCCAUGUGCCACAUAACCGCGGGCACGACUUUCGAAAGUUUAUACCCUGCAGGGGUGUCCCAACUUAGCCCAUCACAAGCUCCCAUGGUCAACGAAGGAUAUACCUUCUCCCAGGAAGACCCGAUCAGACUCGGAAUCGCGGUUUACAAGACAUUUCGACAAUGGUAAAACAAAACCAGCAAAACCUCUCGAUGUGUCGAUAAAUCCAGAUAGGAGCUGCAAAUAUCUCGUUCUCAGGGCACACCGGAUGAGCCAGACGUCGGGUUGGCAUAGACCCUGGUUGCCCAGGGGGUGCCGGACAUCGCUCGGUUUAGACCAGCACUUGGAGAAGCACUGGCCCGGGGGGGGGCUAAAAUAAAGAUGACCCUCGGGCUCCGGAAACCCAAGGGAAAAAGGGCUAGGUGAGGCAAAUGGUAAAACCAAGGUUGGGCCUUGCUGGAGGAGUUUUAUUCAAAGCGAACUGUCAAGGGGGUCCCAUAAAUCACCCAACCGCGUAAGGAACGCAAAAUCCGGGAACAUAACACCGGAAUGACGGAAACUAGGGCGGCAAGAGUGGAACAAAACACCAGGCAUAAGGCCGAGUUUUCCACCCUUUACCAAGUAUAUAGAUGCAUUAAUUAAAAUAAGAGAUAUUGUGAUAUCCCAACAUUAUCAUGUCCACCAUGGAGCAAUCUUCAACUUCACCUGCAACUAGCAACGCUAUAAGAGGGGUUGAGCAAAGCGGUAACAUAGCCAAGCAACGGUUUGCUAGGAAGGGUGGAAAUGUUAGAGGCUGACAUGGCAAUUUGGGAGGCUUGAAGAGCAAUUGGUAGGUAGCGCUGCAAAGCGAUAAAACGAAGCAACUAGCAUAGCAAUGAUAGUAGUGAGAUCCAGGGUAGCGGUCAUCUUGCCCGAAAUCCCGCAAGGAAGAAGAACGAUUCCAUGAAGAAGGUGAAGCCACGAAGACGAACCAAGCGUAGACGAACGAAUCCUCAUGAUCGCAAUGAAACGGGAACUAUCGAGAAGAAGCACACAACAUAGUAAACACACGACACAUGAACAAGGCAUGAUGCUCAACCAAGUAUGAUGCAUGACAGGGCUACAUGAAGCUACUCAUGGCAAGAGAUGAUGCAAACACGAGCAACACAUCAAGGCAAGUUUAAAUGAGGCCGGGAACAACAUAUAACAAUUCCGGUAAGUCCUCAUAUGCAAAUUUCGAAAUAGGUCCAGAUCUGAAUAAACCUUAUGUUCAAGUUGUUAAAUAGCAAGAUAAGAUACACCAAGAUGAUCUACACAAGAUUCUAGUCAAGUUACGUAUAAAGUUCAUUUAGUUCGGAGCUACGGCCUAGAAGAUAUGAGCAAAAAAAGUUAAACAUGGCAUUGAUGCAAAAUGCAUACAAACAUCUAGCAAACACAUCUAAACAAGGAUGCAACAUGUUAAUAUGAAACUACAUCCAAUUCUAAGCAAGUUUCAUAUAGAGCACACUCAAAACGGAGCAACGGUGCAACACAUACACUCCAAACAAGACAUAACAACAAUCUGCCCAAAACAGCAACUAGGCAUCUAGCAAGCAUCAAAACAAUAUGCUACAACACCCCAACGUAAGAACAAAAGGUAUGGGCAUGAUGUACAUGUAAAUCAUGACAAAACAUGAACACUGACCUAUCUCCAGAAAACACUAGAACAUGCUCAAAAAGGCAUGGCAACAUUGCAAGUAAUAACAGUUUACAGGCUUAGCAGAAAUAACAUCAGGUUGCAAUGUUUAGAGCUAUCAAACAACAUGUUACAUGAACAUAUCAUAGAAACUUAAGGCAUGACAUGAUUCUAAUGAAUGCAUAGAACAAAAGUACUUUACUGACCAUGAGCCAAAAGGGCACAGAAAAUAUGAUGGCAGCCAUGUAAACAUGGCAAGUUAUAUGACAGAUUCAAACAUGGCAGGAACAACUAUAAGUAGGCAUGUUGGUGAGCUUGUACCACUUACCACAGAGCAUUACAUGGCAUGAUAAGGCAACCAACAGUAAUAAUACAUGUUUAUGAAGCUAAGCAUGGCAAGAGCAAGUUCAUAGGGUGCAUGAAUCACUCACAAAACACAUGGCAAAAGUGCACUUAAUGUUAACAGGCUGACAGCAACAUUAUUUAGCAAUUUGAGAGCAAGAUUACAACAAGCUACAGCAGGCUAUAAAUGCAACCAGCGGCACGGGUGGAUAUAGCAUGACAUGUAGAACAAAACAUCCUUAGUGAGCAUCUCCAGAUUAUGCAUAGAAUGACUUGUAGCAGCAGGUUUACAUAGCAUCACGAAAUAACAGAUUCAGCCUAGCAAAAUAGCAACAGCAAGUAUUCUACUUCACGAGCUCGAUGCACUCACUAAAAGACUCACAAAAAUACAUGGAUUGCACCUCUGUAAAGAUGGAAUGAUGUAGAUCAAAAUACAUGUAGAGCUCAUGCUCAUAGGAUGCACACAUCAACUGCAACAAAAAUGACAAAUCGCCAAGUUAUAACAGUUUCAGCAGAUUAACAUCAUAUAGCACUCUUGCAACGAUGAUUCAGGUAUCAAGAUGAACUCAAAUGAACAUCGCACAAUGUAAUGAAAUGAAGAGAAUCUCCUGAUGAACAUUUUGAUAUAUUAUACACGCAAAACGGAGCAGUAUACAACAAGUUAUGGCAUAUCAAAGUAUGCACCAAAACGCAAACUAAUUCGGGACUUAGAGAAAAUCUGGGGUCAACCUUAGGUCUGCACGGAUUUCAAGGCGAGGCGGAUGUCGUCGGAGAGCUCACCGGAGAAGAGGAGGGAGAUGGGGCCGGCGAGGUCUUGCAGGGGCGGGACGAGGCGGAUCCGACCGGAUCUCGCCGGAUCCGGCCGAGCUCCGGCGAAGGCGACGCGGGGCCGGGCACGGGCGGCGGCCGGGGCGGCGCCGGCNNNNNNNNNNNNNNNNNNNNNNNNNNNNNNNNNNNNNNNNNNNNNNNNNNNNNNNNNNNNNNNNNNNNNNNNNNNNNNNNNNNNNNNNNNNNNNNNNNNNNNNNNNNNNNNNNNNNNNNNNNNNNNNNNNNNNNNNNNNNNNNNNNNNNNNNNNNNNNNNNNNNNNNNNNNNNNNNNNNNNNNNNNNNNNNNNNNNNNNNNNNNNNNNNNNNNNNNNNNNNNNNNNNNNNNNNNNNNNNNNNNNNNNNNNNNNNNNNNNNNNNNNNNNNNNNNNNNNNNUGGGCUCCGCGGGCCGCACGGUGGCGGGAGGCGGCGGCGACAGGUGUCCGGCCCUGAUUGGCGCAGGGAGGGUGCGCUGCUGAGGUGGCGCGCUCCUAUUGGCCGGAGCGACGUGGAGGCGGCGGUGGACGUGUCCGGCCGCCGGGCGGACAUGUCCGGCGGCGCGAGGAGGGAGAGGGCUAGGGUUCAUUUGCGCGAAAAAAUCGAAGGGGAUCACAUAUUUAUAGGUAGAGGGAGCUAAGAGACUCCAAAUGAGGUGCGGUUUUCGGCCACGCGAUCGUGAUCGAACGGCGGAGAGCAUGGAGGGGGUUAGGAUGGGUUUGGGGCCAGUUUGGAGGGGUUGUUGGGCAGCAACACAAAGAGGGCUUUACGGUUCCCAGUUAACCGUUGGAGUAUCAAACGGACUCCAAAUGGCACGAAACUUGACAGGCGGUCUACCGGUGCUAUACCAAGGCCACUUGGCAAACCUCGGUCCAUUCCGAGAAUGUUUAACACCCGCUCACAACAAGAGACAAAAAGGGGACGCCGGAGGACAUAGGAGUGUCGGAUUGCAAAACGAACAACGGGGAAAAUGCUCAAAUGCAUGAGACGAACACGUAUGCAAUGCAAUGCACAUGAUGACAUGAUAAAAUGCAACACGCAAGCACAUGACAUGGCAACAACAACGAAUAACUGGCAGACACCUGGCACAUCGAAUCCGGGGCGUUACAACACUCCUCCACUAACAAGAGAUCUCGUCCCGAGAUCUUAGGAACGAGACGGAAGAGAAAGAGGAAGAGGUGAAGCAAGAACUGAACAGAGAGGGUGAACAAAGUCGAGAGCACUCGCGUAGAAAAGAUGAGCGGUGAAUAUGACGAGAAUCAAAUGCUCAAGAAACAAAAUAGACUCUGAAAACACUCCGGUUAAAACGAGAUAAGAAACGAAUAAGACUGAAAAGGAUUUAGCAGAACUCUGACUGAACAUGGAAAGAAUAGAACAUGAACUUGAGAGGAUGGAAUGAUACUUGAUGAACUCUUGAAGAAUGAAAUAAAUCAUGAAGAACCACCAUGAAGAACUCCGGUGACAAAAGGAUGAUGAGAUAGACAUGAAGGAUGAAAGAAUAAGAUGAUCCUUGCGGUGACUUAGAUGGAGGUUCCGACGAAAUGACCGAGGAAAUUGAACUCCGGAAAAGAAAAGAUGAAAACACUUGGAACUAGAAUUUAUUCACCAAGAACAAACUCCGAAGAAAAGGAUUAAUCACUUGGAUGAAAUAAGAAUAAGAUUUAUUGUAUGCUUAUCCUUCAUCAAAUUUAAUUGAUGACAAGCCACGGAUUUGGCAUGCAACUUAUUCUUGUUGAAAAGAAUUGAGAAAUGAUGCAUCGCAAACUUGAGAAGGUCUUCAUGAACCACCGGUAGGAUUUGGAAGAACGAAUGAAUUAAAAUGAUAAUCAAGGAAAAGAAUCUUGAACGAACCACCGUAAGAAUUCGAAAAUGACUGAUGAAAGAGAAUGAAUCACCGGGAAGAAUUAUAAGAACAACUAUGCUAGAUGGAAUUUAAAUACAAGGGAAGGGGAAGAACUCGAGCUGAUUAAAGAAUAUUUGAAGGAAGCACCGGGAUAAAUAGAGAACGAUAGCUGAAAUGUGGGGAUGAAGAAUUCUUCUGGAACGAUGGCCUCCGGUGAAAAGAAAUGGAAAAAACAACUCAUGACAUAGUCCGGAUGGGUAAGAAAGAAUAUCCGGCCAAUGGAAUAAUUCGAGAGGGUAAUAAGAAGCUAGAACCACGAAUCUUCGGGAGAACGGGCAAGAUUGAGAGGAAAAACUCUUCUUCGGUCUUCAAAAGACGACGAGAAACACCACCAAAAUUACUGAGGUACUCCGGUUGAAUGAAAAACGAAGAGGUUGAGGCAACAAUGAAAAUUAUUUGAAAUCGAUCUCAAAGAAGGCAUGUGGCUGAUGGAAUCCAUUCUUACGCCACACUUUGAAAAUAAUUGAGAAUAACUCCAGGGAAUUAGAAGAGUCAGGUAAGAUCCUGGGAAAGGACCUGUGGGUUAGGGCCCACUGAAGAGAAAAACACCGUUGGAAAGGAUUGAUGAAAAGAUAGAUGAUUCACCGGAACAAUUGAAAUAUUUGAAUGAGGUAACAACCUCGAAUUAAUUGGAACACAGAUGAAUCUCCUGAGAUGUCUUGAGCACUCCGGAAGGAUAAACUGGCGAGAGGCGAGUGAGCAGGGAAAACACUUGAUCCAAGGAAAGGAAUGUGAUCAACCCGAAAAACUUGAAUUGAGUGCACCAGAAAAGAGAUGAAGACUGCCAAACAAAAGAGAAUUCACCGGUUGAAACAAUUGAUGGAAGACUGAAGAGGCUCCGCACGAAUGAAAUUGAUACUCGAAAUAGACUCGGGCUUCGGGAAGAAGAGGGUGGGAGGGCAGGAAAAAACAAAGGCAACUUUAAAGGGGGAACCGACGAAUAACUUGAAGAAAAAAACACCAGUUGAAAUAAUUGAGGAGAGAGAGCAAAAACUUCGCACGAGUAGGAUGGAUACUCGAUUACGGACUCCGGAUCCAAGAAGAAAAAGGGGGGGUGGGAAAAGAAAACAACUUAGGAUUGAACUCAAAGAUGAAGAGGCUCGAGUCGACUUGACGAGAAAUGCACCGGAUGCAAAGAGAGGAGAACCAACGACCGAAAAAACAUAUGCGUGGUCCUAAAGAAAACUUUGAAGGGGAAGAGGAGUAAUUCAAAACACCUACAUCAAGAUUCCUGACCAGAGCGACGAAGGGGGCUGAGGAGUAAAAAGAAGUCCUACUCUCCGAUAUAACUAGACUCCGAAAAGUUUUCUUCUAGACUCAACAAAGGCCAAACUACACGAUCAAUCAAGGGGGCUCCUAAGGUCAGUCGAGGCUCUGAUACCAACUUGUCACGCCCAAUAUGUGAUACUAUCCUAAAGAGACUCGAAGGUCCCACCAAGGAUAGAAUCGCAUAUUGAAAUGCUUUUGCAAGGUGGAUAUCGUUACCUCAAAAUUACAUAAUAGAUGGGGAUACAUACAAAAGGCAUACAAUGCCACACGAAUACAACAUCAGCUUACAUAGGAACACCAUCCGACUACGGAUGAAACACAAAUAGAAACUCAAACGACAUCCACCCUGCUAGCCCAGGAUGCCGACCUGGAACAUAUCCCCUGAUGGAAGAAGAAGUAGAAGAAGAACUCCAAAACAAUCAAACAUCGCUCUCGCGUCAUGAUCAUCGCAAAACCUAUACCUGCAACUGUUAUUGUAGUAAUCUGUGAGCCACGAGGACUCAGCAAUCCCAUUACCAUGGGUGUCAAGACUAGCAAAGCUUAAAGGGAAAGGAAGGGGUAAAGUGGUGAGGUUGCAGCAGCGACUAAGCAUAUAUGGUGGCUAACAUACGCAAAUAAGAGUGAGAAGAGAAGCAACGGAACGGUCAUGAAGCUAGCAAUGAUCAAGAAGUGAUCCUGAACUCCUACUUACGUCAAACAUAACCCAAAACUGUGUUCACUUCCCAGACUCCGCCGAAAAGAGACCAUCACGGCUACACACGCGGUUGAUGCGUUUUAAUUCGGAUCUGGUGUCAAGUUAUCUACAACCGGACAUUAACAAAUUCCCAUCUGCCACAUAACUGCGGGCACGGCUUUCGAAAGUUUAUACCCUGCAGGGGUGUCCCAACUUAGCCCAUCACAAGAUCUCACGGUCAACGAAGGAUAUACCUUCUCCCAGGAAGACCCGAUCUGACUUGGAAUCCCGGUUUACAAGACAUUUCAACAAUGGUAAAACAAGGCCAGCAAAACCUCCCGUUGUGCCGACAAAUCCCGAUAGGAGCUGCACAUAUCUCGUUCUCAGGGCACAUCGGAUGAACCAGACGUCGGGUUGGCAUAGACCCUGGUUGCCCAGGGAGCGCCGGACAUCGCUCAGUUUGGACCAGCACUUGGAGAAGCACUGCCCCAGGGGGGCUAAAAUAAAGAUGACCCUCGGGCUCCGGAAACCCAAGGGAAAAAGGGCUAGGUGAGGCAAAUGGUAAAACCAAGGUUGGGCCAUGCUGGAGGAGUAUUAUUCAAAGCGACCUGUCAAGGGGGUCCCAUAAAUCACCCAACCGCGUAAGGAACGCAAAAUUCGAGAACAUAACACUGGUAUGAAGGAAACUAGGGCGGCAAGAGUGGAACAAAACACCAGGCAUAAGGCCGAGUCUUCCACCAUUUACCAAGUAUAUAGAUGCAUUAAUUAAAAUAAGAGGUAUUGUGAUAUCCCAACAUAAUCCUGUCCACCAUGGAGCAAUCUUCAACUUCACCUGCAACUAGCAACACUAUAAGAGGGGUUGAGCAAAGCGGUAACAUAGCCAAGCAACGGUUUUCUAGGAAGGGUGGAAAUGUUAGAGGCUGACAUGGCAAUUUGGGAGGCUUGAAGAGCAAUUGGUAGGUAGCGCAGCAAAGUGAUAGAAUGAAGCAACUAGCAUAGCAAUGAUAGUAGUGAGAUCCAGGGUAGCGGUCAUCUUGGCUGAAAUCCCACAAGGAAGAAGAACGAGUCCAAGAAGAAGAUGAAGCCACGAAGACAAACCAAGCAUAGACGAACGAAUCCUCACGAUCGCAAUGAAACAGGAACUAUCGAGAAGAAGCACACAACAUAGUAAACACAUCACACAUGAACAAGGCAUGAUGCUCAACCAAGUAUGAUGCAUGACAAGGCUACAUGAAGCUACUCAUGGCAAGAGAUGAUGCAAACACGAGCAACACAUCAAGGCAAGUUUAAAUGAGGCCGGGAACAACAUAUAACAAUUCCGGUAAGUCCUCAUAUGCAAAUUUCGAAAUAGGUCCAGAUCUGAAUAAACCUUAUGUUCAAGUUGCUAAAUAGCAAGUUAAGAUACACCAAGUUGAUCUACAUGAGAUUCUAGUCAAGUUACAUAUAAAGUUCAUUUAGUUCGGAGCUACGGCCUAGAAGAUAUGAGCAAAACAAGUUAAACAUGACAUUGAUGCAAAAUGCAUACAAACAUCUAGCAAACACCUCAAAACAAGGAUGCAACAUGUUAAUAUGAAACUACAUGCAAUUCUAAGCAAGUUUCAUAUAGAGCACACUCAAAACAGAGCAACGGUGCAACACAUACACUCCAAACAAGACAUAACAACAAUCUGUCCAAAACAGUAACUAGGCAUCUAGCAAGCAUCAAAAAAAUAUGCUACAGCACCCCAACAUAAGAACAAAAGGCAUGGGCAUGAUGUACAGGUAAAGCAUGACAAAAUAUGAACACUGAACUAUCUCCAGAAAACACUAGAACAUGCUCAAAAAGACAUGGCAACAUUGCAAGUAAUAACAGUUUACAGGCUUAGCAGAAAUAACAUCAGGUUGCAAUGUUUAGAGCUAUCAAACAACAUGUUACAGGAACAUAUCAUAGAAACUUAAGGCAUGGCAUGAUACUACUGAAUGCAUAGAACAAAAGUCCUUUACUUACCAUGAGCCAAAAGGGCACAGAAAAUAUGAUGGCACCCAUAUAAACAUGGCAAGUUAUAUGACAGAUUCAAACAUGGCAGGAACAACGAUAAGUAGGCAUGUUGGUGAGCUUGUACCACUCACCACAGAGCAUUACAUGGCAUGACAAGGCAACCAACAGUAAGAAUACAUGUUUAUGAAGCUAAGCAUGGCAAGAUAAAGUUCAUAGGGUGCAUGGAUCACUCACAAAACACAUGGCAAAACUGCACUCAAUGUUAACAGGCUGACAGCAACAUUAUUUAGCAAUUUGAGAGCAAGAUUACAACAAGCUACAGCAAGCUAUAUAUGCAACCAGGGGCAUGGAUGGAUAGGGCAUGACAUGUAGAACAAAACAUCCUUAGUGAACAUCUACAGAUUAUGCAUAGAAUGACUUGUAGCAGCAGGUUUACAUAGCAUCACGAAAUAACAGAUUCAGCCUAGCAAAACAGCAACAACAAGUACUCUAUUUCACGAGCUCGAUGCACUCGCUACAAGAUUCACAAAAAUACAUGUAUUGCACCUCUGUAAAGAUGGCAUGAUAUAGAUCAAAACACAUGUAGAGCUCAUGCUCAUAGGAUGCACACAUCAAAUGCAACAAACAUGACAAAUCGCCAAGUUAUAACAGUUUCAGCAGAUUAACAUCAUAUAACACUCUUGCAACGAUGAUUCAGGCAUCAAGAUGAACUCAAAUAAACAUGGCACAUUUUGAUAUAUUAUACAUGCAAAACGGAGCAGUAUACAACAAGUUAUGGCAUAUCAAAGUAUGCACCAGAAUGCAAACUAAUUCGGGACUUAGAGAAAAACUGGGGUCAACCUUAGGUCUGCACGGAUUUCAAGGCGAGGCGGAUCUCGUUGGAGAGCUCACCGGAGAAGAGGAGGGAGAUGGGGCCGCCGGGGUCUUGCAGGGGCGGGACGAAGCGGAUCCGGCCGAGCUCCGGCGAAGGCGACGCGUGGCCGGGCGCGGGCGNNNNNNNNNNNNNNNNNNNNNNNNNNNNNNNNNNNNNNNNNNNNNNNNNNNNNNNNNNNNNNNNNNNNNNNNNNNNNNNNNNNNNNNNNNNNNNNNNNNNNNNNNNNNNNNNNNNNNNNNNNNNNNNNNNNNNNNNNNNNNNNNNNNNNNNNNNNNNNNNNNNNNNNNNNNNNNNNNNNNNNNNNNNNNNNNNNNNNNNNNNNNNNNNNNNNNNNNNNNNNNNNNNNNNNNNNNNNNNNNNNNNNNNNNNNNNNNNNNNNNNNNNNNNNNNNNNNNNNNNNNNNNNNNNNNNNNNNNNNNNNNNNNNNNNNNNNNNNNNNNNNNNNNNNNNNNNNNNNNNNNNNNNNNNNNNNNNNNNNNNNNNNNNNNNNNNNNNNNNNNNNNNNNNNNNNNNNNNNNNNNNNNNNNNNNNNNNNNNNNNNNNNNNNNNNNNNNNNNNNNNNNNNNNNNNNNNNNNNNNNNNNNNNNNNNNNNNNNNNNNNNNNNNNNNNNNNNNNNNNNNNNNNNNNNNNNNCAGGCGGCCAGCGGCGAGGCGCACGAGGAGGCGGGCGGAUGGGCCAGGCGGCGGCGGCGCGAGGGCCCGCCCGGGCCCACGAUGGGCUCCGCGGGCCGCACGGUGGCGGGAGGCGACGGUGACAGGUGUCCGGCCCUGAUUGGUGCGGGGAGGCUGCGCUGCUGAGGUGGCGCUCUCCUAUUGGCCGGAGCGAUGUGGAGGCGGCGGUGGAUGUGUCCGGCCGCCGGGCGGACAUGUCCUGCGGCGCGAGGAGGGAGAGGGCUAGGGUUCAUCUGCGCGAAAAAAUCGGAGGGGAUCACAUAUUUAUAGGUAGAGAGAGCUAGGAGACUCCAAAUGAGGUGCGGUUUUCGGCCACGCGAUCGUGAUCGAACGGCGGAGAUUAUGGAGGGGGUUACGAUGGGUUUUGGGCCAGUUUGGAGGGGGUGUUGGGCUGCAACACAAAGAGAGCUUUACGGUUCCCCGGUUAACCGUUGGAGUAUCAAACGGAUUCCAAAUGGCACGAAACUUGAUAGGCGGUCUACCGGUGCUAUACCAAGGCCGCUUGGCAAACCUCGGUCCAUUCCGAGAAUAUUUAACACCCGCUCACAACAAGAGACAAAAAGGGAACGCCGGAGGACAUAGGAGUGUUGGAUUACAAAACGGACAACGGGGAAAAUGCUCGGAUGCAUGAGAUGAACACGUAUGAAAUGCAAUGCACGUGAUGACAUGAUAAAAUGCAACACGCAAGCACAUGACAUGGCAACAAUGACGAAUAACUGGCAGAUACCUGGCGCAUCGAAUCCGGGGCGUUACAUGCCCUCAACCAUUCACCCUACUCGGGUGAGGAAUCAACUUGUGGUUCAAAUGAUCCGCCAACAUGUGCUAGUCUGUCGUAGUCAAUCCAAAAGAGAGGUAUCUUCUCAAAUUGAAAAUCAAACAAGGUCCCCUCAUCUUUUGCUGGAGAGUGAUGAAAGAAGCCUCGGACUAGUGAAACAAAUAUGAAAAUUCUAGCUCUAAAUCUGAGAUGGUUCCCUCAUAAAUCCAUCCUUCUUAACAUCGCUCUUUACCACGCCACCAAUUCAAUUCCCAAGAGAAUUCCCAAAAGUAUAUGAUCACUUAUAUAUGGAAGGAUCUGUAAUUAUCACCCAUGGCUCCAACAUACAAAACAUUAUCUUCGAUGACCUAGUUUUUUCAUCAUAAUCCUUCAAAACUAUCACAUUGAAACCAAAUUGCCACAUUAAAUUAUAUAGAGCGUGCUUCUAGACUCCUUUGUUCUUGAAUCUCAAGAAGAAGAUAUUAUUUCUAAUGUGACUUAUUUGGGCUUCCUAGUAGAGUCCCAUGUGUGUUGCAUAGCCCUAGCAAACACGUUGAUGUUGAUUUGUUGGAGUGAGCAUGCCUUUCCAACCACUGACCACCGAGUAGGCCUCGGUCGGUCUGGUAUCCUGAUCCUCAAACAUGAGAUCUAUUAGUUCCUUUUUUCCCAAGUUUAGGGCUCCUUGUUAAUUUGAUUGAGCGAUUAGCUGCCUCCCCUGAAGCAUUUCCGUCUGUCAGGGACUUUGAAGGUUCUCGUAUUAACGGUCCUUGGUUGCCCUGUUCACUUGAGCUGUCGAUUUAUGCCACGCCUUCUCUCCCAUCGUCACGCAAAGGAGUGGAAGCACCAAGACCAAUCAAUGUAGGAGUUUACAGCGUCAUCGCCCCAUAGAUAAAUAAAACUCUAACCCUAUAGUCGCCCUUAGCAUUUCUUUUCAUGCUGGGCCCGCCGCUAUGUAUUUAUACGUGUCCUUCCAUUGGUACUUUUUUUUGCUCUGGAGCCUUUCUGCUACAUUUGUCUUUCUACAAAGGUGGUCUUAUCCAAAUCAUAUAGUCUCCUCUAUCUAUAUUAAGCCAGGACAUUAGUUCUUCUUUUUUUCAAGGCAAAUACACUUGCUAGUGUUCAAGCGACAUCGAAAGAAGUCUUGUCACAUGUGUAGACGACGCUAAGAGUGUGACACAUAUAGGUGCCAACUUUAUGGAUAAUGCAAAUUUCAGCAAAUAUGAAUAGCUCCCGGGGGAACGAGCGCACAAAGGAAUCAGCCACCAUAAAUCGAUCAUUUCCAAUGAAACAGAGUCACAAAGAGAGAGACAAGACAUUAGCUUCUUUAUGGGGAACACAUACAUUUAAAUGUUGCCUUGCUAUCUGAUUAUUAACAAGAAAUAAUUUUUACUAAUAUAUUAUGUGUAAAUCUUGAUAGAUAUGGAAUGUAUUUUGGUCAGUAUGUUUUAAGGAAUCAUGUCAGUUUUUGGUAUGUUGAAAUUAGAAGAAGUUCAUGUGCCUUCAAGGCAUGUCAAGGUGUGUUGUUCCACCUCAAAUUGGGACAUACUAAAUGGUUAUUCUCCCUACAUAUAGCCCCAAUUCUCAUGCUCUUGCUCUCUCUCUCUCUCUCUCUCCAUUUUAUAUUCCAGACUACUCCAUAAAGCCUAACCGGUGAAGGUCCAGAAACACCCAGCAGUGACGGGUUCAACUCCCAUUAGUAGUCUAUACUUAGUGGAGGAGAAACAAGCCACUUACAGGCACAUGCCCGCCAAUGGUGAAUAAAUUAGAAAAGAAAAUCAGGCCAUGGCCGGUCCAUAUCCGGCAGCUGCCAACAAUGUGUAGUCUCCACUACUCUAACCUAAUUUUCCUCAAUGUGUUACAUCAUGUGAUGUUUGGAGAAGCCAUAGAGUCGGGGACCUGAAUAUAGAAAACAACGAUGGGGAGUGGCUUGAAGAAUAGGAGCCAAGAAGCCGGAAGGAGAAGGCCUCCACCAUGUUGCACCAUUGGCCGAUACUGACCCGUAUGGUGCAAGGACCAAGGUAGAACUAAACACCUUCAUCAUCUGGGUCGCAAAGGAAGUUGGACUAGUGUGUUGCUCCUCUCGGACAAACUCAAUGAUUUCAUGCAGUUGGCACCCAUGCAACAUUCCACAGAGAUAACAACACUGAGGACGAGGAGGGGCAACGCAAGGUUUCUUCCUCAUAGGAAUUACUUUCGAGGAUGUGGGGGGAGGGUAUGGCAUGAUGAGCAGUUAACAAGGGAAGUUUGCAUGACUGUGGAGGAGAAAUCAUGAAGACAAGUGUGCUAGUAGCUAGACAAGGGAUGAAUGAUAGCAGGAAGGAAUAAUGAGCUUACUGGGUGAGGCUACUAUUUUUUUAGUUGCGACCUACUGAUCAUAACAACAAUUGAUCGUAACAAUGUAGCAUUGAUGAUACAGGGUAUUGAUUUAGUAACUGUCAGGAUGUGACUAGGGCUUGUAAGUGGUGGGUUGUAUAUUACUAACAAGUAGCAUGUUUAGCCUCCAUCUUGUCCUCUGUCACUCGUAACAACAUACCAUUGAUGGACUACAUAUUGGGCCCGUCACUACUAUCUUUUUCCAACAAAAAUAGAAUUUUAGUUAUAGUCAGAUUCACAACAAUCCCGCCAGCCAUUAGUGCUAGGUAGCACUGUUGACCAGUUUUGUGAGCCACCACUUUUGAUCGAUAACGAGGCGAGAACUCUAGUGUAGUGCACAUUUGUUUUGUUGCGAACUUUUAGUGUUUUUAUGUGCACAAAGACAUAUCUUUCAACCCUAACAGGUGUUCUCUUUAGGUGGGGUCGAGAGUGAAGGACUGGGGAGCUUGGAAGCAGGGGAAAUGGCACCUAGAGGGGUUCAGAUCUCCAUGAUCAAUAACCACAAUUUUGAUCUGAAUGAGCUGUCGACUGAGCAUGAGUAGCUCAAGAAGGAGUAGUCACCCAUGGAGAAAGAGUAGCCGCCUAUGGCACAACAUGAGCUUUAAUAUUCACAAUGGUUGGAGGCUACUCAAAUCCGCUUGUGUGAGCAAAAGUAACUCUUGGGAAAAAGUGUAGCCUUGUCAGAAAUUAUCAAAACAAUAUCCUUAUCCUGAGGACGGUUGUAAAGCUUAUGUGGAACUUUUGAAUUUCUUGCUUCCUAUUUUUUGGUGAUUGACUUACGCUAUUGCUAAACUUGAGGGAAGGAGUUGGUAUACUGCCUCAUGAUCAACGUGUCAACUGGAAAUGGAUUUUCUAUUCGUUUCCUGUGAUGGUUUUGAUAUGUGGAUUUUUUGAACAAGUAGUUGUUCAUUCGGUAAAGCUUUGUGAAACAUCAACGGUGGAGCUAGGUAUCAGGUCAUGUGAAAAGACAGUAGGUCAAGAAGUGUG